UACGGAGGGUGCGAGCGUUACCCGGAAUCACUGGGCGUAAAGGGCGUGUAGGCGGCGGAGCAAGUCCGGCUUCAAAUCCCGCGGCUCAACCGCGGACCGGGGCCGGAGACUGGACGGCUGGAGAGGGAACUAGAAUUUCUGGUGUAGCGGUGAAAUGCGUAGAGACCAGAAGGAAUACCUAUGGCGAAGGCAGGUUCCUGGACAGUCCGUGACGCUGAGGCGCGAAAGUGUGGGGAGCAAACCGG
rnacentral:rRNA from 1 species